rnacentral:tRNA from 1 species
GAAGAAUUAGUUAAAUUUAAUAACAUUAGAAUGUCAACCUAAAAUAAUCAUUAAUACUUAAUUAAUAUGAUAUUCCUCA